CCUACGGGUUGCAGCAGUGGGGAAUAUUGCACAAUGGGCGCAAGCCUGAUGCAGCCAUGCCGCGUGUAUGAAGAAGGCCUUCGGGUUGUAAAGUACUUUCAACGGGGAGGAAGGUGUUGUGGUUAAUAACCACAGCAAUUGACGUUACCCGCAGAAGAAGCACCGGCUAACUCCGUGCCAGCAGCCGCGGUAAUACGGAGGGUGCAAGCGUUAAUCGGAAUUACUGGGCGUAAAGCGCACGCAGGCGGUCUGUCAAGUCGGAUGUGAAAUCCCCGGGCUCAACCUGGGAACUGCAUUCGAAACUGGCAGGCUGGAGUCUUGUAGAGGGGGGUAGAAUUCCAGGUGUAGCGGUGAAAUGCGUAGAGAUCUGGAGGAAUACCGGUGGCGAAGGCGGCCCCCUGGACAAAGACUGACGCUCAGGUGCGAAAGCGUGGGGAGCAAACAGGAUUAGAUACCCUCGUAGUC
rnacentral:rRNA from 1 species